rnacentral:rRNA from 1 species
CUUGGUCAUUUAGAGGAAGAAAAAGGUAUUACAAGGUCUCCGUUGGUGAACCAGCGGAGGGAGAAAUA